GAGCGCUCGUAGCAAUACGGGAGCGGCAGACGGGAGAGUAACACGUGGGAACGUACCUUUCGGUUCGGAACAACCCAGGGAAACUUGGGCUAAUACCGGAUACGUCCGUAAGGAGAAAGAUUUAUCGCCGAAAGAUCGGCCCGCGUCCGAUUAGCUAGUUGGUGGGGUAAUGGCUCACCAAGGCUACGAUCGGUAGCUGGUCUGAGAGGAUGAUCAGCCUCACUGGGACUGAGACACGGCCCAUACUCCUACGGGAGGCAGCAGUGGGGAAUAUUGGACAAUGGGCGCAAGCCUGAUCCAGCCAUGCCGCGUGGGUGAUGAAGGCCUUAGGGUUGUAAAGCCCUUUCGGCGGGGAAGAUAAUGACGGUACCCGCAGAAGAAGCCCCGGCUAACUUCGUGCCAGCAGCCGCGGUAAU
rnacentral:rRNA from 1 species